AAAAGCCCCACGGGAGUUAGAGACGUUGUGUUAGGGCUUUUUACAACGGCGAACCAGAGAUUUUCACGUCUCGUGUACAACGCAAACAUGCCAAGACGCCACAAGUGAAACUACAAAUUUGUUCGCAGAAGCGUUUUUAACCAUCAAGCUUUUGUUUUAGUCUCUUCAAACUGAACUCAAUUCAUAUAUGCAUGCAUUGAAUAAUAUACACAACAACUCUUCUUCGCAAUAAUUUAUUUGAAGAAGUUUGCUUUGGCUGUCGUCGUCGCGUUGCCGUCGUACAUGCUUAAGGUCC